UCUCACCAGAGAUCCAGCCGGCCACAAACUCCUCCACGGGCAUUGUCCGGCAGGGGCGGAAACUGGUGGCUCCAGCAGAGACACUGGGUGAGCAGUGGCCCGGUGCCCAGACCUCGGCACCAGGAGAAGGGAGGGAGCCAACCUGGGUGGCCUCGACAGCGGAGGAGGGCGCACCGUGUGAAAUCUCAGGGCAGGGGUGAUGGCCCAGGUGGCCUGACCCCCUGCCGGCCAACGACGGCCUCGCAGCCUCCCACGGUGACCAGGCAGGGCAGCCGGGCCCCAGCCUCCAGGGCUGCCUCCGGCUUUAACGAGCCUGUUGAGGGCAAGGCCCUGCUUACCCGGCCCAGCGGGCCCCAACCCCCUCUAUCCCCACAGCACCUCACGCCAGGCUGUCGCCCACUCGGGACAGGCAGCCAGGCCUGCAGAGAUGGGGCAUGGCCACCAGGGGGCAGACAGACGGCGUGGGAGGAGAGGAGUGAUUCUUGGGCCUGAAGCCCUGCCUUCUCCCAGGGUUGUCUAUGGCUCCCCAGCUCCCUCGUGUGAGUCAGAAACAGCUUCCCUCGCUUGGCCUUCUCUUCUCCAUCCCUCCUUUCUAGGGGGAAAGCUGGGGAUUUCAAGCGUGUAAAGGCUGGUGUGUGUCUCAGUUCAAGGGUUAUGACUGCCCAUUUCUCUUUGGACAAUAACCCAAACUGACAAGGCAGGGACCUGAAUCCCUCUCUCUCGCUCUCAGCUUCCUUCGACCAAGCUUCUCUGUUGCCAAUACAUUCAACAUGCUA